rnacentral:rRNA from 1 species
CGGUAAGGUGAUAUGAACCGUUAUAACCGGCGAUUUCCGAAUGGGGAAACCCAGUGUGACUCGUCACACUAUCAUUAACUGAAUCCAUAGGUUAAUGAGGCGAACCGGGGGAACUGAAACAUCUAAGUACCCCGAGGAAAAGAAAUCAACCGAGAUUCCCCCAGUAGCGGCGAGCGAACGGGGAGGAGCCCAGAGCCUGAAUCAGCAUGUGUGUUAGUGGAAGCGUCUGGAAAGGCGCGCGAUACAGGGUGACAGCCCCGUACACAAAAGCGCAUGUGUUGUGAGCUCGAUGAGUAGGGCGGGACACGUGGUAUCCUGUCUGAAUAUGGGGGGACCAUCCUCCAAGGCUAAAUACUCCUGACUGACCGAUAGUGAACCAGUACCGUGAGGGAAAGGCGAAAAGAACCCCGGCGAGGGGAGUGAAAAAGAACCUGAAACCGUGUACGUACAAGCAGUGGGAGCCCCACCACUAAGCCAGUGGUGAACUCCACAUACGCAUCCUUUGCUGAAGGUGCGGUUAACGGAGCGCAAGCGACGUUCAACCUCAAAAGAAGCAGAGGGGGCUUAGUGGUGGGGUGACUGCGUACCU